GGAUCAAGGCAGUGGAUUGUGAAUCCACCAUGCGCGGGUUCAAUUCCCGUCGUUCGNCCAUAACAUAGCAUUGU
rnacentral:tRNA from 1 species